GUCUUCUAGUCAAAAUGUGUGCAAGGACUUGCAGGUGGGCCUUGUAGUAUGGACUUCUUUUUCUUUCCAGGUCAUAGAAGGGGGCCAGUGUGGAAGAUGACUAUUCCUCAGGCAAGGAGCGCUUCCUCUAGAGAAUAUGGAAGAUGUCCGAAUUUCCUACAUUGUAAUCAAGGAUAUAAUAUAGUAGAGAUCUGGUGAUAAUGAAUUAUGAGAUUUAGGGUUCUGAUGAUGGGAAUCUUGUGGUAGCGCUGGAACCAUACCUUUGACAUGGGGAUGGAUUACUUUUCAAUCUUUUCUGGCUUUAGUAAAGUUAUGAUUAUUUAUGUACCAUCACUUUCGUCCCUUAGUUUUAUGACUUUAAUGCAAUCCUCAUCAUACAAAAGUGGACACUUCGUUAUCUUCUUUUUAGGGGGGCAAAUUAACUAGAUCAUGUGUGUGUGUGUAUUUAGCUGUAAGUUUAUAUGAAUGGAUUACUUUUGUGGCAAUCUUUGUUGAGGAUUGGUAUGUAGGGGUUGGUUAUUGCUCUCAGGACUUCGAGCUCGGUGAAGUUAGCAUUAUCAGUUAUUAUACAAGACUUGUCAACUGUUUUGUUUUAGCUUCAAAAUUAUUUGAACGUGUUCAACAGCGUUGGUAUAAAAUAUUCAUUCCUCAGAGCCUUUUCCUGCCACAAAUUUCAUACCUUUGUGUAUUUUUAUGUAUGAAAAUGAAAAUUGACAAUCUGUCUUUUUAGCGCAAGAGAUGAGAAUGGAGUUGCUUUGUGCAUCAAAGAAUUGAAUGCUCCCAGCUUCCAUCCAUGAAUGAUUUCUAACUGGGUUGCUGAUUCUUUUGAGAGGAAGGACGCGGAGAGAGAUCUAUUGACAAAGCUCUUGAUUGGUUUUAUGAAAACUCGAGAUGGCAAGAUCAACUCAUCAAAGGGUUUGAAGAUGUUCUCACUACAUUGGAGGAUGCGGUAAACGAUGUCCCUAGAGCAGCCGAGUUUCUUGGCCGCAUCUUUGCCAAAGUCAUAAUGGAGAACGUCAUUUCAUUAUCUGAAGUUGGGUGGUUGAUCUCUGAAGGAGGGGAAGAGCAAGGACAUCUGGUUGAAAUAGGCCUUACAGCCGAAGUCCUUGGGACUAUCUCGGAGACAAUUAAAUCAGAAAAGGGUGAUUCUGUAUUGACUCAGAUCUGUUCAAGCUCAAAUCUGCGGCUAGAAAACUUCAUACCUCCUCCAGGUUCUAACAAAUCUUGGAGACUAGAUAAGUUUACUUAGCAUAUUGAUGCUAAUUGUAUAUGGUAGAAGAAAUUCUUGACUAGUUUUUAGGUCACCGUUUAUAUUUUACAGAUACAUGUUUCGUUCUGGGUAGAUGGGAAUUCAUAUAGGGGGGUUAUUUUGAUGUUUCCAUAAUAUUAUUACCAUUCAGAAAAUUAAUUGCAACUGCUAAAGGUUCAAUUGAGCAUCAUCUCAUCUCUUUACUUUUC